rnacentral:rRNA from 1 species
UACGUAGGGCGCAAGCGUUAUCCGGAAUCAUUGGGCGUAAAGAGCGUGUAGGCGGCCACUUAAGUCCUGCGUGAAAUCUUGCGGCUCAACCGCAAGCGGUCGUGGGAAACUGGGUGGCUAGAGUGCGGGAGAGGAGAGUGGAAUUCCUGGUGUAGCGGUGGAAUGCGCAGAUAUCAGGAAGAACACCCGUGGCGAAGGCGGCUCUCUGGAACGCAACUGACGCUGAGACGCGAAAGCGUGGGGAGCAAACAGG